rnacentral:rRNA from 1 species
UUAAGCGACUAAGCGUACACGGUGGAUGCCCUGGCAGUCAGAGGCGAUGAAGGACGUGCUAAUCUGCGAUAAGCGUCGGUAAGGUGAUAUGAACCGUUAUAACCGGCGAUUUCCGAAUGGGGAAACCCAGUGUGUUUCGACACACUAUCAUUAACUGAAUCCAUAGGUUAAUGAGGCGAACCGGGGGAACUGAAACAUCUAAGUACCCCGAGGAAAAGAAAUCAACCGAGAUUCCCCCAGUAGCGGCGAGCGAACGGGGAGCAGCCCAGAGCCUGAAUCAGUGUGUGUGUUAGUGGAAGCGUCUGGAAAGGCGCGCGAUACAGGGUGACAGCCCCGUACACAAAAAUGCACAUGCUGUGAGCUCGAUGAGUAGGGCGGGACACGUGGUAUCCUGUCUGAAUAUGGGGGGACCGUCCUCCAAGGCUAAAUACUCCUGACUGACCGAUAGUGAACCAGUACCGUGAGGGAAAGGCGAAAAGAACCCCGGCGAGGGGAGUGAAAAAGAACCUGAAACCGUGUACGUACAAGCAGUGGGAGCCUCUUUAUGGGGUGACUGCGUACCUUUUGUAUAAUGGGUCAGCGACUUAUAUUCUGUAGCAAGGUUAACCGAAUAGGGGAGCCGAUGGGAAACCGAGUCUUAACUGGGCGUUAAGUUGCAGGGUAUAGACCCGAAACCCGGUGAUCUAGCCAUGGGCAGGUUGAAGGUUGGGUAACACUAACUGGAGGACCGAACCGACUAAUGUUGAAAAAUUAGCGGAUGACUUGUGGCUGGGGGUGAAAGGCCAAUCAAACCGGGAGAUAGCUGGUUCUCCCCGAAAGCUAUUUAGGUAGCGCCUCGUGAAUUCAUCUCCGGGGGUAGAGCACUGUUUCGGCAAGGGGGUCAUCCCGACUUACCAACCCGAUGCAAACUGCGAAUACCGGAGAAUGUUAUCACGGGAGACACACGGCGGGUGCUAACGUCCGUCGUGAAGAGGGAAACAACCCAGACCGCCAGCUAAGGUCCCAAAGUCAUGGUUAAGUGGGAAACGAUGUGGGAAGGCCCAGACAGCCAGGAUGUUGGCUUAGAAGCAGCCAUCAUUUAAAGAAAGCGUAAUAGCUCACUGGUCGAGUCGGCCUGCGCGGAAGAUGUAACGGGGCUAAACCAUGCACCGAAGCUGCGGCAGCGACGCUUAUGCGUUGUUGGGUAGGGGAGCGUUCUGUAAGCCUGUGAAGGUGUGCUGUGAGGCAUGCUGGAGGUAUCAGAAGUGCGAAUGCUGACAUAAGUAACGAUAAAGCGGGUGAAAAGCCCGCUCGCCGGAAGACCAAGGGUUCCUGUCCAACGUUAAUCGGGGCAGGGUGAGUCGACCCCUAAGGCGAGGCCGAAAGGCGUAGUCGAUGGGAAACAGGUUAAUAUUCCUGUACUUGGUGUUACUGCGAAGGGGGGACGGAGAAGGCUAUGUUGGCCGGGCGACGGUUGUCCCGGUUUAAGCGUGUAGGCUGAUUUUCCAGGCAAAUCCGGAAAAUCAAGGCUGAGGCGUGAUGACGAGGCACUACGGUGCUGAAGCAACAAAUGCCCUGCUUCCAGGAAAAGCCUCUAAGCAUCAGGUAACAUCAAAUCGUACCCCAAACCGACACAGGUGGUCAGGUAGAGAAUACCAAGGCGCUUGAGAGAACUCGGGUGAAGGAACUAGGCAAAAUGGUGCCGUAACUUCGGGAGAAGGCACGCUGAUAUGUAGGUGAAGUCCCUCGCGGAUGGAGCUGAAAUCAGUCGAAGAUACCAGCUGGCUGCAACUGUUUAUUAAAAACACAGCACUGUGCAAACACGAAAGUGGACGUAUACGGUGUGACGCCUGCCCGGUGCCGGAAGGUUAAUUGAUGGGGUCAGCGCAAGCGAAGCUCUUGAUCGAAGCCCCGGUAAACGGCGGCCGUAACUAUAACGGUCCUAAGGUAGCGAAAUUCCUUGUCGGGUAAGUUCCGACCUGCACGAAUGGCGUAAUGAUGGCCAGGCUGUCUCCACCCGAGACUCAGUGAAAUUGAACUCGCUGUGAAGAUGCAGUGUACCCGCGGCAAGACGGAAAGACCCCGUGAACCUUUACUAUAGCUUGACACUGAACAUUGAGCCUUGAUGUGUAGGAUAGGUGGGAGGCUUAGAAGUGUGGACGCCAGUCUGCAUGGAGCCGGCCUUGAAAUACCACCCUUUAAUGUUUGAUGUUCUAACGUGGACCCGUAAUCCGGGUUGCGGACAGUGUCUGGUGGGUAGUUUGACUGGGGCGGUCUCCUCCUAAAGAGUAACGGAGGAGCACGAAGGUUGGCUAAUCCUGGUCGGACAUCAGGAGGUUAGUGCAAUGGCAUAAGCCAGCUUGACUGCGAGCGUGACGGCGCGAGCAGGUGCGAAAGCAGGUCAUAGUGAUCCGGUGGUUCUGAAUGGAAGGGCCAUCGCUCAACGGAUAAAAGGUACUCCGGGGAUAACAGGCUGAUACCGCCCAAGAGUUCAUAUCGACGGCGGUGUUUGGCACCUCGAUGUCGGCUCAUCACAUCCUGGGGCUGAAGUAGGUCCCAAGGGUAUGGCUGUUCGCCAUUUAAAGUGGUACGCGAGCUGGGUUUAGAACGUCGUGAGACAGUUCGGUCCCUAUCUGCCGUGGGCGCUGGAGAACUGAGGGGGGCUGCUCCUAGUACGAGAGGACCGGAGUGGACGCAUCACUGGUGUUCGGGUUGUCAUGCCAAUGGCACUGCCCGGUAGCUAAAUGCGGAAGAGAUAAGUGCU